ACGGAACAUCUACCCAAGCCUGCAAACGUGCAGUAGCUGUACUACUUAUCCUAUAAAGAGCGUGUGAAUUGUCAGGGCCUGAAGCUGAUGGGAUGUCCUUUUUGAGAGGUACUGUUUUCCUAGAGGGAACCUUGUAACUACCCUAAGGACUCAAACUCUGGACGGACUGACAAAAGUAAGCUUCUGCAGAGCUUGUCUGAACACAAACUUCAAAGUGGAUCAGAAGAAUACAAGAGAGAUCUCAACUUUCUGUUGCUUCCACUUAAUUGGAUUAGUCAUCUACCUCCAAAGGCCCCCAGGACCUGGGAACUGGAUGGCUUUGAGAUGCUGCCCUUUGCUUCCUGCUGUUCCUCUGGAGGCAGCAGUUAUCUGUGAAU